rnacentral:rRNA from 1 species
UAGGGAAUCUUCGGCAAUGGGGGGAACCCUGACCGAGCAACGCCGCGUGAGUGAAGAAGGUUUUCGGAUCGUAAAGCUCUGUUGUUAAGGAAGAACGAGUGUGAGAAUGGAAAGUUCAUGCUGUGACGGUACUUAACCAGAAAGGGACGGCUAACUACGUGCCAGCAGCCGCGGUAAUACGUAGGUCCCGAGCGUUGUCCGGAUUUAUUGGGCGUAAAGCGAGCGCAGGCGGUUAGAAAAGUCUGAAGUGAAAGGCAGUGGCUCAACCAUAGUAGGCUUUGGAAACUGUUUAACUUGAGUGCAGAAGGGGAGAGUGGAAUUCCAUGUGUAGCGGUGAAAUGCGUAGAUAUUUGGAGGAACACCGGUGGCGAAGGCGGCUCUCUGGUCUGUAUCUGACGCUGAGGCUCGAAAGCGUGGGGAGCGAACAGG